rnacentral:rRNA from 1 species
AUAGAGACUCAGAGCUGCAUAUCAAUAAGCGGAGGAAAAGAAACUAACAAGGAUUCCCUUAGUAACGGCGAGUGAAGCGGGAAGAGCUCAAAUUUGAAAUCUUCAAGGUUCUACCUUGACGAAUUGUAGUUUAUAGAAGUGUUUUCUGUUAGUAGAGUGGCAAAAGUUCUUUGGAAUAGGACAUCAUAGAGGGUGAGAAUCCCGUAUUUGGUCAUUCUUUCUAGCUUUGUGAUACACUUUCAACGAGUCGGAUUGUUUGGGAAUGCAGUCCAAAAUGGGUGGUAAAUUUCAUCUAAAGCUAAAUAUUGGCGAGAGACCGAUAGCGAACAAGUACUGUGAGGGAAAGAUGAAAAGAACUUUGAAAAGAGAGUUAAACAGUACGUGAAAUUGUCAAAAGGGAAGCGUUUGACACCAGUGUUGUUUUUCCGAAAAUCAAUUACUGAAUGGUUUGAUUUUUGAGAAGUUAUGACUUCAUCGGCUUGCUUCUCUCUUUACGAAACUUUCUUAAUGCACUUUUCGGUUAACAAGUCAACAUCAAUUUCUUUUGUUGUAAAAGGGUAUGAGGAAGGUGGCUUUCUUUUCGGAGAAAGUGUUUAUAGCCUUGUACCUCUGCAAUCGGAGAGAUUGAGGUCUGCAGCGUAGAUCCUUCGGGGUUAGAUACAUUUGUGCUAAGUUAUAGCUUUUCAUAGACAACUUGUUGACUAUGUUAAGUCUUGUAGCUUACUCGCUUAUGCUAUUUUACCUACGCUUAGGAUGUUGACGAGACUGUCGAUCUC